UAGCCUACGGGAGGCAGCAGUGGGGAAUAUUGCACAAUGGGGGGAACCCUGAUGCAGCGACGCCGCGUGGAGGAUGAAGGUUUUCGGAUUAUAAACUCCUUUUGUUAGAGAAGACAAUGACGGUAUCUAACGAAUAAGCACCGGCUAACUCCGUGCCAGCAGCCGCGGUAAUACGGAGGGUGCAAGCGUUACUCGGAAUCACUGGGCGUAAAGAGCGCGUAGGCGGGAUAGCAAGUCAGAUGUGAAAUCCUAUGGCUUAACCAUAGAACUGCAUUUGAAACUGUUAUUCUAGAGUAUGGGAGAGG
rnacentral:rRNA from 1 species